GACAGAGGGGGCAAGCGUUGCUCGGAAUUAUUGGGCGUAAAGAGCUUGUAGGCGGUUUGUCGCGUCUGCUGUGAAAAUCCGGGGCUCAACCCCGGACUUGCAGUGGGUACGGGCAGACUAGAGUGUGGUAGGGGGAGACUGGAAUUCCUGGUGUAGCGGUGGAAUGCGCAGAUAUCAGGAGGAACACCGAUGGCGAAGGCAGGUCUCUGGGCCACUACUGACGCUGAGAAGCGAAAGCAUGGGGGAGCGAACAGG
rnacentral:rRNA from 1 species